rfam:Oidiodendron maius Zn unplaced genomic scaffold scaffold_16, whole genome shotgun sequence.
ACAUACGACCACAGACUGAGGAACAUUGGGCAUCCCGUCCGCUCUGCCAUACACAAGCCUCAGAUCGAUGAAUUAGUAGUUGGGUGGGUGACCACCAGCGAAUUCUCAUUGUUGUAUGUU